rnacentral:pre_miRNA from 1 species
AAUAAACCAAUUUUUCACUUUUUACCUUUAAUUUUUGACUCUUCGUCUUAUUCAAAAUUUUUUUACGAUUGAUAUUUUUGUUUUUAUUAGAUGAUAAAUCAUGAAUAGUAGUUUACGUGUGACUAAUUUUUUUUAAUUUUCUAAAAUUUUUUAAAUAAGACAUAUGUUCAAAUAUUGGACGCGGAAACCGAAGAAUUCGUUUUUU